GAGAGAGGCCUGCUGGCACCAGGAACUGCUAACUCUUGCCCCCUUGGUUGGACUCCAAGGCUCACUCG
rnacentral:tRNA from 1 species